rnacentral:rRNA from 1 species
CUACGGGCGGCUCCAGUGGGGCAUAUUGCACAAUGGAGGAAACUCUGAUGCAGCAACGCCGCGUGGAGGAUGACACCUUUCGGAGCGUAAACUCCUUUUAUAUAGGAAGAAGAUGACGGUACUAUAUGAAUAAGCGCCGGCUAACUCCGUGCCAGCAGCCGCGGUAAUACGGAGGGCGCAAGCGUUACUCGGAAUCACUGGGCGUAAAGAGCGUGUAGGCGGAUUAAAAAGUCAGAAGUGAAAUCCUAUAGCUUAACUAUAGAACUGCUUCUGAAACUCUUAAUCUAGAAUAUGGGAGAGGUAGAUGGAAUUUCUGGUGUAGGGGUAAAAUCCGUAGAGAUCAGAGGGAAUACCGAUUGCGAAGGCGAUCUACUAGAACAUUAUUGACGCUGAGACGCGAAAGCGUGGGGAGCAAACAGGAUUAGAUACCCGCGUAGUC